CUCCUUGCUGUCGGCUCUCCAACCCGUCUUCAACCUCAGCAUCAUCCGACCUGUCGUGAAUGUGUCAACUCCCACCCACGUGGGCAUUGGAUUCACCCUUUAUGCCAUCAUGGGGGUGGAUGAAAAGGCCCAAGUCCUGAAAACAUUCAUAUGGCAACAUUUAAGCUGGAGGAACGAGUUUGUCAAUUGGGACCCAGAACAGUGCGGAACCGAAAGGAUUUCAAUUCCAAGGGAUCUCCUGUGGGUACCAGAUAUAGUCAUAAAUGAAUUGUAAGUACCAAUCACAGAGCAGUUGUAUUUUUGCGCUGACUUUAUACCCUCAUAUCAGUGGCUGUUUGGGCUCAUUUGUAUUUUUGCAAAAGAAGCAGUUAUGAACAAUACUAUUCACUAGCUUCUUUGUCUGUUGUCUUGCUGCAGUAUGGUGAAGAACUCGGCUCCGUUCGUCCCGUACACUUAUCUGUUUUCUGACGGCUUGGUGGUCGACGAACAGCCGGUCAAAGUGAUCAGCUCCUGUAGGCUCGACAUCUACACGUUUCCCUUUGACAUCCAGACCUGCAGGUUAACCUUCAACUCCUACCUGCUCUUUGGUAAGUAGAAACAGAUCCACACCAUCUUUGUUAAAUACAGAUUGACGGGGAGGGGGGGUUUCACCUUUUUAAUAUACUUUUGCCAAUUAAUUUCCACAGAUGAACAUUUUUUAUAACACUGACUAUAUGAUUAUAAAUGGAUCAAAUCUCACUAAAUCAUUGAUUAUAUUGUGUUUUGAUUUUCAGCAAGUGCACUGCAGAUGAACCUGUCAUUUAGUGUAGAAAACAUAUUGAAACACUCUAAAGAAGUGAUGACGACUAUGGGUGAGUGGGAGCUCGUGGGACUCACAGCGACGUCAGUCCUCCUCCCAGCUUCGGGUGAUGAAAUGUACCAAGAGAUGCGCUUCUUUGUAAGGAAACAAUGCCGACUGAACUCUUAUUGUCUGUUGCACAACGUUAAAGAUUAGAUGAAGAUAGAGAAAGAGAAAUAGUUUUUUUAAG